rnacentral:rRNA from 1 species
GGGAGGCAGCAGUGAGGAAUAUUGGUCAAUGGACGAGAGUCUGAACCAGCCAAGUAGCGUGAAGGAUGACUGCCCUUGGGUUGUAAACUUCUUUUAUACGGGAAUAAAGUUAGCCACGUGUGGUUUUUUGUAUGUACCGUAUGAAUAAGGAUCGGCUAACUCCGUGCCAGCAGCCGCGGUAAUACGGAGGAUCCGAGCGUUAUCCGGAUUUAUUGGGUUUAAAGGGAGCGUAGGCGGGUUGUUAAGUCAGUUGUGAAAGUUUGCGGCUCAACCGUAAAAUUGCAGUUGAUACUGGCGACCUUGAGUGCAACAGAGGUAGGCGGAA